rnacentral:lncRNA from 1 species
CUUAUUCUAAAGUAUUGUGAGUAUUUUUCUUGAGUAUAAGAAUACUUUAAGCGUAGUUUUUCUGCAAGAUUUUCUCAGAAUAAUAUCUGGUAUUACAGUCAAAUCCAGUUUCUACCAAGGUAAAGGAUAUUAUUUUAUUGCAAUACUCGUAAAAAAUAUUAUUUUCUUUCAUACUCCAUAGUAUGGAAGCGAUAUUAUUUCAUUUCAUAUUCCUAAAAUUGAACUUACUAUGGUAAGUAUUGCUUCUAUAAUUCCUGAAAUGAUUAGAAAUUUCGUUUCAUCUAAUAUCAUUUCAUAGGAAUAUUGGUCUGAACUUUUUAUCAAAUUUGGAACUUUUCAUGACUGGGUACUGUUCACAGUUACUAUUCACGGGUACUGUUCACGAGUACUGUUCACAAAAGAAAAAAAAAUAUUUUUUUUCUUCUUCCAAGUUAUCUGUUGUGACCCUUAUUCUUGAAAUUAAAUCCAUGUUUUGAUCUUCAUUCUUGAAUUUUACUCCACUAUAGUUUAUUAUGGAGUAUUAUUGAUCUUGGAUAAACUGUUAUAUGAAUCCUUAAUAUUUGUCCUUCGGUCUCGCUGGAUUCGUUCUUUAAAAUAUUUUUCAUCAUCCUCCGUCCUAAAUGAUGAUAUUACUAAAUAUCUUUGGCCUGUAGUGCAAAGAUGAAUGAUUAACUGAUGAAUAUCUUUGGCCCAUAGUGCAAAGAUGAACAGGUGUUGAGAUGAACAUGACCAACUGGUGAUACAAAUGAAUAUCUUUGGCCUGUAGUGCAAAGAUGAAUAUUUGAUUCAAGAUGUAUAUUGAUUGAUGUUACAGGGAUAAAUUAUUGAUGAUAGACUUUUAAAUCUUAAAAGAUAGUAGAAUUUUUUUUCUACUUGACUCUUUUAAUGGAUUGUUGUUUCCGCUGCAAUUGUUGAUCUAAAACUUGUUGUCUAAUAUAUUUUAUCAGAUUUUUCUCUGUUGAAGACUAAUGAUAAAUUAUUGUAUAUUAUCUUAGUCAUAAUAUUUUUUACUAGACUAGUUGAGCUCACCCUUUUCCUUUUUAUUCCAUUUUUCUUCCCAGGAGGUGAGAACAUAGCAGGAACUAGCCGGGGUAUGGAGUGAUGGUUCAGGAUAGAUGUAUUAGUAGUCCUCACUAUUUUGUAAAAUAAUGUAUUAAUAAUUAUAAUGAGGACUCUUUUUGAGUUUGUAUACUAUCUAUUAGACUAUAUUUGUAUUCAAACUCACAGUAUAUGUGUUGUCGUAUUUUGC